rnacentral:tRNA from 1 species
GCCUUCGGGGUGUAAUGGUUAGCACACUGAGCCGGUAUUUCAGAGGUCCGUGGUUCGAUCCCCGGCGAAGGCC